AAUAGAUACCCCGGUAGUCCAUGCUGUAAACGAUGAGUGCUCAUAUUUAGAGUAAUUUAGAUAUUUUAAGAAGCUAACGCGUUAAGCACUCCGCCUGAAGAGUAUAAUCGCAAGAUUGAAAUUCAAAGGAAUUGACGGGAGUCUACACAAGCGGUGGAGCAUGUGGUUUAAUUCGAUAAUACGCGCAGAACCUUACCAAUUCUUGUAAAUAUUUUAAAAAUUUUUUUUAAAAAUACAGGCGUUGCAUGGCUGUCGUCAGCUCGUGUUGUGAGAUGUUUGGUUUAUUCCCUUAACGAGCGAAACCCCUAUUUUUAGUUGCUAAUUUGUAUAAAAGAAAGACUCUUUUUAUAAAUGCACUUUAAAAAAGUUAAUGACAUAUUAACGGAAAUGGGGAUUACGUCAAGUCUUCAUGGCCCUUAUGAAUUGGGCUACACACGUGCUACAAUGAUAAAUACAAUGAGAGGCAAUAAUAAUAAUAAAUUGGAGCAAAUCUUAAAAUUAUCUUAAGUUCGGAUUAUGGGCCGCAACUCGCCCAUAUAAAGUUGGAAUCGCUAGUAAUCGCAAAAAC
rnacentral:rRNA from 1 species